GCAGCCGUAGCUCAAUUGGAUAGAGCACCUGACUACGGAUCAGGAGGUUCGGGGUUCGAACCCCUGCGGCUGCACCA
rnacentral:tRNA from 2 species